GACGAACGCUUGCGGCGUGCCUAAGAAAUGCAAGUCGAGCGAGAACGAGCCUUCGGGUGAAGUUCUAGCGGCGAACGGUCGCGUAACACGUAAGCAACCUGCCCCAGAGUGGGGGAUAGCCCGCCGAAAGGCGGAUUAAUACCGCAUGUGGAUCAUGGCUCGCAUGUGUUGUGAUCUAAAGCAGCGAUGCGCUCUGGGAUGGGCUUGCGGCCUAUCAGCUAGUUGGUGUGGGUAACGGCCCACCAAGGCGACGACGGGUAGCUGGUCUGAGAGGAUGGUCAGCCGGACUGGGACUGAGACACGGCCCAGACUCCUACGGGGGGCAGCAAUUAGGAAUCUUGCGCAAUGGGCGAAAGCCUGACGCAGCGACGACGCGUGACUGAUGAAGUCUUUCGGGAUGUAAAGGUCUUUUGCAGGGGAAGAAGGAUGUGACGGUACCCUGCGAAUAAGCCCCGGCUAACUACGUGCCAGCAGCCGCGGUAAUACGUAGGGGGCGAGCGUUGUCCGAAUUUACUGGGCGUAAAGCGCGCGUAGGCGGACUUUUAAGUUGUGGGUGAAAUGCCGAGGCUCAACCUCGGAACUGCCUGCAAAACUGGGAGUCUUGAGGUAUGGAGAGGGAAGUGGAA
rnacentral:rRNA from 1 species